rnacentral:rRNA from 1 species
UAGGGAAUCUUCCGCAAUGGGCGAAAGCCCGACGGAGCAACGCCGCGUGAGUGAUGAAGGUCUUCGGAUCGUAAAACUCUGUUAUUAGGGAAGAACACAUGUGUAAGUAACUAUGCACGUCUUGACGGUACCUAAUCAGAAAGCCACGGCUAACUACGUGCCAGCAGCCGCGGUAAUACGUAGGUGGCAAGCGUUAUCCGGAAUUAUUGGGCGUAAAGCGCGCGUAGGCGGUUUUUUAAGUCUGAUGUGAAAGCCCACGGCUCAACCGUGGAGGGUCAUUGGAAACUGGAAAACUUGAGUGCAGAAGAGGAAAGUGGAAUUCCAUGUGUAGCGGUGAAAUGCGCAGAGAUAUGGAGGAACACCAGUGGCGAAGGCGACUUUCUGGUCUGUAACUGACGCUGAUGUGCGAAAGCGUGGGGAUCAAACAGG